rnacentral:rRNA from 1 species
GUGCACCAGUCGAGAAUUUUUCACAAUGGGGGAAACCCUGAUGGAGCGACGCCGCGUGGAGGAUGAAGGCGUUUUCGUCGUAAACUCCUGUCAUGCGAGAACAAGAAAGUGAUAGUAUCGCAAGAGGAAGAGGCGGCUAACUCUGUGCCGGCAGCCGCGGUAAUACAGAGGCCUCAAGCGUUGUUCGGAUUCAUUGGGCGUAAAGGGUGCGUAGGUGGCAUGGUAAGUUGAAGGUGAAAUCUCGGAGCUCAACUCCGAAACUGCCUUCAAUACUGCUGUGCUCGAGGACUGUAGAGGAGAAUGGAAUUCACGGUGUAGCAGUGAAAUGCGUAGAUAUCGUGAGGAAGACCAGUGGCGAAGGCGAUUCUCUGGGCAGUUCCUGACACUGAGGCACGAAAGGCUAGGGGAGCAAACGGGAUUAGAUACCCGUGUAGU